rnacentral:lncRNA from 1 species
ACUCUACUAACUGUUGUGAUUCAAUAAAAUGCAAUAAUUUUCAUUGUUAUUUAAAUGCGGAUUGUUUUUUACAAAAUAUAAAAAUAUGUAAAAAAUGUAUCUUCUUAUAUUUUAAUUUUACCAUUAUAACUAACGUUCUUUUUAUGAGACAUGGCGCCAGGACUCCCAAAAAAAAAAUUAAAAAUAUAUGGCCAUUCGAAGAAGGGAAAGGGGAAUUAACUUUUUUAGGAUUUCAACAAUCACUAAAAGUAGGAAAGUAUUUAAGAAGAUAUUACUACAGUUUAAAAAAGUUAAAAAGACAAUAUAAUAAUAAGUUUAGAAAUAAAAAUAGCAAUAGCAAAGUUUAUUUUGAGGGGAAUAAAAAAAAAGGGAAUGGUAAAAAGAGGCAUCGAGAGCAUAGAAAUGUAUAUGAAACAAAAUGUAAUUUUAAUGUUGGUAGCAAUGGUGGUUGUAAAAAUUAUAGUAACAAACAGGAUGAUGAACGUUUAUUAUUCCCUUUGUCAUCAAAAUUUGGUCAAAUGAAUUUAAAAAACAGUUUUUGGCCGAAUAGUAGUCGUAAAAAAAAAAAUCAUGUGAACGGAAAAAAGGCAUUUUAUAACAGUUUUAACAAUACGAAAAAAAAGCAAACAAACAUAGAUGAUAAUAUGGUGUUAAAAAAAAUUCAAUUUAUUUAUGAACGUGUUAUAACAAAUGACAAAAUAUAUGAAAGAUUAAGUGAAAAAGAAAUACAAAUUUUAGCACAGGUUAUUCAAAAUUUUUAUUUAAAAAAAAAAGAGUCCUUAACAAAGCAGCUAAAAAUAUAUAAUAUGGAAAGAGAAAAAAAAAAACAUGAUAAAGUAGUAAAUUUAAUUAAUAAAUAUUUAUGUAUCAAAACAACAAAUAAUGAAAGGUGUCAAUUAACAGCAUAUGCGAUUAUUUGUGGUAUAUUAGGAAUAAGUGAAAAAAUGUUUUUUUUCUUUUUUUUACUUUCAUUUAAUAAAGAUGAUAAUAGUUCAAAGCGUAGUUACAAAAAAAAUAAUAAUUAUAAUGAUUUGGAUAUUUCGCGGAUGUGUAAUAAUGUAGUAACUAAAAAAAAUGACAUUGCAACAAAUAAUUAUGAACAAAAAAUAUAUAUGAAAAGUGAAAAAAGUGCUAUACCAUUACUUAGAUCCUUUUUAGUUAAGCACUGUAAAAAAAAUUGUAAAGAUAUUGGAGAAAAAAUCGAAUUUUUAUGUACAACUGAUAAAAACUUAUCAGUUGGCCAAAAAAUAAAUAAUGAUUAUGACAUGUGUUACAUUAGUAAUAAUGUUAAUGAUUAUACUUUUAUUAAUUGCAGUGACGAGUUUAAUAAAAUUGUUAAAAAAAUUAUGUAUUUGGAUGGAAUAUGUAAAUCAAAUUAUUAUACUAAAAAUAAUAUUUUAAACAAUGAUCAUAAUAACGAAACUUGUCCAAAUUUUAUGAACUGUUCAGGUAAUAAUUUAAAAUUUAAGACAAAAAAAGAUGAUAAUAACUUAUUAUGUAUUUAUAAAUUUAAUAAUAGAUGUAAAGAGGAGGAAAAUGUUGAUUUAUUUAAGGAUCUAGAUCUAGAUCUAGUUGAUAAAAGUAAAAACUGUGAGAAUAUUUUUGAAAAAAAGUAUGUAAAUGUUGGGUUAUUAAGCGAGCGUGAUGUUAUAUAUAACAACAGCUGUACAUUUAACUGUUGUGCAUGUUAUAUAGAAAACCCACGUAUAAAUGAAAUGAAGUGUAAAAAAAUGGAUAUUCUUUUUGAUAAUGAUACAUCACCGGGUAUACGUACUUUAAAAAAUUAUGAAGAUACAGGUAGUAGUAGUAGUAGUAGUAGUAAUAGUAUCACUGAUUUAUUUGGAGAAAAUAAUAAAUACAAAUAUAUGAGGUCACUAAGUUAUAGUGAUAAUGUGAACUCAAAUAAUACGUAUAAAAAAAAAAAAAAAAAAAAAAUGAAUAUAAAUUAUAAGAACAGGAAUAAUAAGUUCCUNNNNNNNNNNNNNNNNNNNNNNNNNNNNNNNNNNNNNNNNNNNNNNNNNNNNNNNNNNNNNNNNNNNNNNNNNNNNNNNNNNNNNNNNNNNNNNNNNNNNUUUGUUAUGAACAGUUCAUACAGUGCUCAUUAUUUUUAUAGCCAAAUUAUAAAAGCAAAAAACAGAAAUGGAAAAACGUUAAAAAAGUCUUAUAUAUCAUAUAUUUUUCAAAUAUAUUUACAUUACAUAUUAAAUGAAUUUAAAAAAUAUAUACAUAAUCAUAUUAAAUAUAAUUAUAAUGAUAGUAGUAAUAGUAGUAGUAGAAGUUGUACUAUGUAUGUAAAUAGUGAUAAACGGAGCAAAGAUGUUAUGUUAACUAAAAUGCAUGAACAAAAUGUUG